AAUACGUUGAUAUCGAGAGGAACACCAGCGGCGAAGGCGAUUCACUGGCCCUUUUCUGACGCUCAGGCUCGAAAGCGUGGGGAGCAAAACGGAUUAGAUACCCGUGUAGUCCACGCCCUAAACUAUGGACGCUAGGUGUAUGGCACAAUCGCUACAAUCCUUCGGGAUUGUAAUGAGAGUGUUGUGUACCGUAGCUAACGCGUUAAGCGUCCCGCCUGUGUACUACGGCCGCAAGGCUAAAACAUAAAUGAAUUGGCGGGGUCCCGCACAAGCAGAGGAGCGCGUGGUUUAAUUCGAUGGUAAUCGAAGAACCUUACCAGGGUUUGAAAUGUAUCUGCAAGCUUUAGGAAACUAGAGCCCCCUUCGAGGGUGAUACACAGGUGCUGCAUGGCCGUCGUCAGCUCGUGUCGUGAGAUGUAGGGUUAAGUCCCGAAACGAGCGCAACCCCUAUCCCAUGUUACAAGUGUCUUGGGAAACUGCCUCGGUAAAACGGGGAGGAAGGUGGGGAUGAUGUCUGGUCCGCAUGGCCCUUAUGUCCUGGGCGACACACGCGCUACAAUGGUCGGUACAACGGGUUGCCAAAUCGUAAGAUGGAGCUAAUCCUAAAAAGCCGAUCUCAGUUCAGAUUGAGGUCUGAAACUCGACCUCAUGAAGGUGGAUUUGCUAGUAAUCGUGGAUCAGCCAUGCCACGGUGAAUACGUUCUCGGGACUUGCACACACCGCCCGAAGGGC
rnacentral:rRNA from 1 species